rnacentral:rRNA from 3 species
AUGGCUCAGAUUGAACGCUGGCGGCAGGCCUAACACAUGCAAGUCGAGCGGAUGA